rnacentral:rRNA from 1 species
UACCAGCACCCCGAGUGGUCGGGACGAUUAUUGGGCCUAAAGCAUCCGUAGCCGGUUCUGCAAGUCCCCCGUUAAAUCCAACUGCUUAACAGAUGGGCUGCGGAGGAUACUAUAAGACUAGGAGGCAGGAGAGGCAAGCGGUACUCAGUGGGUAGGGGUAAAAUCCGUUGAUCCAUUGAAGACCACCAGUGGCGAAGGCGGCUUGCCAGAAUGCGCUCGGCGGUGAGGGAUGAAAGCUGGGGGAGCAAACCGG